rnacentral:rRNA from 1 species
UACAGAGGGGGCAAGCGUUGUUCGGAAUUACUGGGCGUAAAGGGCGCGUAGGCGGCCCGCUAAGUCGAACGUGAAAUCCCCCGAGCUCAACUCGGGAACUGCGUCCGAUACUGGUGGGCUUGAAUCCGGGAGAGGGAUGCGGAAUUCCAGGUGUAGCGGUGAAAUGCGUAGAUAUCUGGAGGAACACCGGUGGCGAAGGCGGCAUCCUGGACCGGCAUUGACGCUGAGGCGCGAAAGCGUGGGGAGCAAACAGG